UCACUUGGCUGGAUGGGGUUGAUGGGUGAUCGACAAGGCCCAUGUCCUAGAUUGACAGCCUCCAUUGCACAGUGGUGGCGCAUCGGCCUAAGUUCUGGUCGUUGUAGCGGAGCCGACGUCAUAAUUCGUGGUAGUGGGGGCCUUCGGUCCGACAGCCCCUU